UAGCUCAGUUGGGAGAGCGUUAGACUGAAGAUCUAAAUGUCGCCGGUUCGAUCCCGGC
rnacentral:tRNA from 1 species